AGCGAACGCUGGCGGCAGGCUUAACACAUGCAAGUCGAGCGGGCAUCCUUGUGGUGUCAGCGGCAGACGGGUGAGUAACGCGUGGGAACGUGCCCUUCGGUUCGGAAUAACUCAGGGAAACUUGAGCUAAUACCGGAUACGUGCGAGAGCAGAAAGGUUUAUCUGCCGAAGGAUCGGCCCGCGUCUGAUUAGCUAGUUGGUGAGGUUACGGCUCACCAAGGCGACGAUCAGUAGCUGGUCUGAGAGGAUGAUCAGCCACACUGGGACUGAGACACGGCCCAGACUCCUACGGAAGGCGCCGUUGGGGAUUUUUGAACAUUGGGGGCAACCCGAUCCCGGCCUUGCCCCUUGAUUGUUGCCGGCUUUAGGUUUGUAAGGCUCUUUCUCCGGGACGAUAAUGACGGUACCGGAGGAAUAAGCCCCGGCUAACUUCGUG
rnacentral:rRNA from 1 species